AUGUAAACAAAACAAGUUUUCGGUAAACCUAAUCCGUAAAAAAUACUAAAAAUCGCGAAAAGCUUCCCUGAAUCGAUUCCAUCGAAUUCCCUUAAUGUUUCCGGAACAAUUAACCAUAGGGGAGCAUUUGAAAGGCUGUUAUUCAUUUAGCCACGGGCGAGUGGAGUUUGGAAGCAACCGGAAAUUGCACACGGGUCGGUUCCACCAGGAUCUGCAUAAGUGUCCUGAAUCCGAAUGUGCUGUGAAACCAUGUCCUUGGAGAAACUCUGAGAUUUUGCCGAAACUCGAUCACUACAGUUCGACAUCAGACGGAAGGAUGACCGGAUGGUUGGAUAUAAUAGUUCUUAGUUGGUGUACAUGUUUUCGUCGGAGC